GGCGCCUAAGGAUGGGUCUGCGGCCUAUCAGGUAGUAGUGGGUGUAGCGUACCUACUAGCCUACGACGGGUACGGGUUGUGAGAGCAAGAGCCCGGAGAUGGAUUCUGAGACACGAAUCCAGGCCCUACGGGGUGCAGCAGGCGCGAAAACUUUACAAUGCUGGAAACAGCGAUAAGGGGACCUCGAGUGCCAGGUUACAAAUCUGGCUGUCGUGAUGCCUAAAAAGCAUUGCAUAGCAAGGGCUGGGCAAGACCGGUGCCAGCCGCCGCGGUAACACCGGCGGCUCGAGUGGUAACCGUUAUUAUUGGGUCUAAAGGGUCUGUAGCCGGCCGGAUAAGUCUCUUGGGAAAUCCAGCAGCUCAACUGUUGGGCUUUCAGGAGAUACUGUCUGGCUCGAGGCCGGGAGAGGUGAGAGGUACUUCAGGGGUAGGGGUGAAAUCUUGUAAUCCUUGAAGGACCACCAGUGGCGAAGGCGUCUCACCAGAACGGACCUGACGGCAAGGGACGAAAGCUAGGGGCACGAACCGGAUUAGAUACCCGGGUAGUCCUAGCCGUAAACGAUACUCGCUAGGUGUCGGCCACGGUGCGACCGUUGUCGGUGCCGUAGGGAAGCCGUGAAGCGAGCCACCUGGGAAGUACGGCCGCAAGGCUGAAACUUAAAGGAAUUGGCGGGGGAGCACCACAACGGGUGGAGCUUGCGGUUUAAUUGGACUCAACGCCGG
rnacentral:rRNA from 1 species